CAGUAGCCGCGGGAAUACAGAGGGUGCGAGCGUUAAUCGGAUUUACUGGGCGUAAAGCGUGCGUAGGCGGCUUCUUAAGUCGGAUGUGAAAUCCCUGAGCUUAACUUAGGAAUUGCAUUCGAUACUGGGAAGCUAGAGUAUGGGAGAGGAUGGUAGAAUUCCAGGUGUAGCGGUGAAAUGCGUAGAGAUCUGGAGGAAUACCGAUGGCGAAGGCAGCCAUCUGGCCUAAUACUGACGCUGAGGUACGAAAGCAUGGGGAGCAAACAGGAUUAGAUACCCGUGUAGUCCCUGUCUCUUAUAC
rnacentral:rRNA from 1 species